rnacentral:rRNA from 1 species
UACGGGGGGAGCAAGCGUUGUCCGGAAUACUGGCGGUAAGCGUGCGCAGGCGGUUGUGCAAGACAGAUGUGAAAUCCCCGGGCUCAACCUGGGAAUUGCAUUUGUGACUGCACGGCUAGAGUGUGUCAGAGGGGGGUAGAAUUCCACGUGUAGCAGUGAAAUGCGUAGAGAUGUGGAGGAAUACCGAUGGCGAAGGCAGCCCCCUGGGAUAACACUGACGCUCAUGCACGAAAGCGUGGGAGCAAACAGG